rnacentral:rRNA from 1 species
AUGGCAGAUAAUCAAUGGAUGUAUAGUGGAUUUUUCCGUCGGAAUCAAGUAACAACGGAGUGGGUCGAAAAAACUGAUGUGUUUUUGAAAGAGAUAUUUCGUAGUCCAAUGAGGAUGGUGCCAGAAUGCCCGUGUGCCAGAUGUAAGAGGCGUAUCCGCAGAGAUAAGAGUGAGAUGACUAAGCACCUUCGCACGCAUGGAUUUAUGCCCAACUUUAAUAUGCCGAUAAACUUUGUCCAGCGGGACCGUGGUAGAGAGGAUGUGAUACGACAACGCGUUGCUGGUUAUGAGGACGAUGGGGUUAGAGACAUGCUAGAUGAUGUCUUUGCUGCACAGCUGACACCUCCGUCACAUUCAGCGAAUGAACCGGAGGAGCCGGAGGAAACCGCAAAGGCCUUCCUGGAAAUCUUGGCCUCGUCAAAGAAACCUCUCUAUGAGGGUGCCAAGCUGUCUGUGCUGGAUGCCAUCUCGCAACUGAUGGCAGUCAAGGCUGAGUACGGUUGUAGACGAGGUUGCUUCGAAGCAUUUCUGGGAGUAUGA